rnacentral:rRNA from 1 species
UCCCGAGCGUUNUCCGGAUUUAUUGGGCGUAAAGCGAGCGCAGGCGGUUUGAUAAGUNUGAAGUUAAAGGCUGUGGCUCAACCAUAGUUCGCUUUGGAAACUGUCAAACUUGAGUGCAGAAGGGGAGAGUGGAAUUCCAUGUGUAGCGGUGAAAUGCAUAGAUAUAUGGAGGAACNCCGGUGGCGAAAGCGGCUCUCUGGUCUGUAACUGACGCUGAGGCUCGAAAGCGUGGGGAGCGAACAGGAUUAGAUACCCUGGUAGUNCACGCCGUAAACGAUGAGUGCUAGGUGUUGGAUCCUUUCCGGGAUUCAGUGCCGAAGCUAACGCAUUAAGCACUCCGCCUGGGGAGUACGACCGCAAGGUUGAAACUCAAAGGAAUUGACGGGGGCCCGCACAAGCGGUGGAGCAUGUGGUUUAAUUCGAAGCAACGCGAAGAACCUUACCAGGUCUUGACAUCCCGAUGCUAUUUCUAGAGAUAGAAAGUUACUUCGGUACAUCGGUGACAGGUGGUGCAUGGUUGUCGUCAGCUCGUGUCGUGAGAUGUUGGGUUAAGUCCCGCAACGAGCGCUACCCCUAUUGUUAGUUGCCAUCAUUCAGUUGGGCACUCUAGCGAGACUGCCGGUAAUAAACCGGAGGAAGGUGGGGAUGACGUCAAAUCAUCAUGCCCCUUAUGACCUGGGCUACACACGUGCUACAAUGGUUGGUACAACGAGUUGCGAGUCGGUGACGGCGAGCUAAUCUCUUAAAGCCAAUCUCAGUUCGGAUUGUAGGCUGCAACUCGCCUACAUGAAGUCGGAAUCGCUAGUAAUCGCGGAUCAGCACGCCGCGGUGAAUACGUUCCCGGGCCUUGUACACACCGCCCGUCACACCACGAGAGUUUGUAACACCCGAAGUCGGUGAGGUAACCUUUUGG